AUUGAAAAUACAGGAAAUGAAAAUGAGCAUUUUACUUUAUCAAUAUUUCUUAAUGUUUCAAUGAAGUAUGUAAUAAAUUAAAAGAACUAUUGUAUUGAUUAGGAAAAGUUUUUAUUUCAGGUUUGUGAAUAAAGGCUUGUUUGUUAGAUUUCAAUUGUGGCUCAGUUGGUUGUUUGCUGAGAAGCUGUGAAACAUAAUUAUACAGGCCAUUAAGGAGGUUUUUGUCAGAUUGAUGAAUGUGAAAUUAAGAGGACCCAUUUUGAGGAUGCUUUUUAUGAAUGGAAUCACACGAGAGAUGAAGUCUAAAAUGUGAUACUGUCAAUGUGACUAACCUUGAAGUAAACAGAUGACACAAUGUUUUUUCAAUGUCAUGGGCAUAUAAUGAAGAGAAAACAGAGAUGCUUGUUUGACAGAUACAGUAAUAGUAGGAGUUAUGAGGGAAGAUAGAAUGCAGUGAUAACUAUAUUGAGGCACCACUUCAUCACCAAGAACAUGAAAUGAAUUAUCAAUGUUUUCAAUGUGUUUGAACACCCAUUUUAAAUAAUACAGCUCAGAGUGAAUUUUUCAAAAUAAUUAAUUCUGUUUUUCAAAGUUUUUUAUUUUAGAUGUUAGUUGAUCUUGUCAAGUACUUAAUUUUUUUAGGGAUGGCAACAAUUACUAAAAUCAAUACUCGAGUACUCGGUCAUUUAGAGUAUUCGGUUACUGGGAUGAUUUCCAAUGAUCUUUAAAUUUUUAUCACACAAUAUCAACACCGUCUGCAUGCUACCUUCAUUUCUAUUUUAAUUCAUAGAAUUUGUAGCUAUAAAUAGGAUUGCAAGAAAUACAUAUAAUAAAUAUAAGCAUAAGAAAUGUCAAUGACAGCAUUUAUUAUAUACCUAUAAAUUUUCUUCCUAAAACACAGGAUUAUCUUGAAGCGCAAAUAGUUUUCAACGGUUAGAAAAUUCUGUAUUAUGUUAGAGACAAAUACAGUACCAUAAAUGAAAGGCCUGGACUAUUUUUAUGCUCCCCAAAAAAUUUCGGGUGAGCAUAUAGUCGCCGCCUUGUCCGUCCGUCCGUCCAUCCCCUUUUCUUGUCCGGAACUUUGAAACAACAACAGGUAUUAUCAUGAAACUUUGUAGGUAGAUAGAUCUCAUUGAGUAGGUGUGCAGUGCACAAGAACCUUAACUCUGCCUUGCUUAAUUUUUGAAUUAUUCCCCUUUGUUUAUUUUACACUUUGAACUUUGUCCGGGACAUAACUCUAAAACUAUAAGAGGUAUCAACAUGAAACUUUGUAGGUAGAUAGAUCUAAUUGAGUAGGUGUGCAGUGCACAAGAACCAUAACUCUGCCUUGUCUAAUUUUGAAUUAUUCCCCUUUGUUUAUUUUUACACUUUGAACUUUGUCCGGGACAUAACUCUAAAACUAUAAGAGGUAUCAACAUGAAACUUUGUAGGUAGAUAGAUCUAAUUGAGUAGGUGUGCAGUGCACAAGAACCGUAACUCUGCCUUGCUUAAUUUUUGAAUUAUUCCCCUUUGUUUAUUUUACACUUUGAACUUUGUCCGGGACAUAACUCUAAAAGUAUAAGAGGUAUCAACAUGAAACUUUGUAGGUAGAUAGAUCUCAUUGACUUGGUAUGCAGUGUACAAGAACCGUAACUCUGCCUUGCCUAAUUUUUGAAUAAUCCCCCUUUGUUUAUUUUACACUUUGAAAUUUGUCCGGGACAUAACCUUUAAACUAUAAGAGGUAUCAACAUGAAACUUUGUAGGUAGAUAGAUCUCAUUGACUUGGUAUGCAGUGCACAAGAACCGUAACUCUGCCUUGCCUAAUUUUUGAAUUAUCCCCCUUUCUUUAUUUUACACUUUGAACUUUGUCUCUAAAACUAUAAGAGGUAUCAACAUGAAACUUUGUAGGUAGAUAGAUUUCAUUGAGUUGGUAAGCAGUGCACAAGAAACUUAACUCUCCCUUGCCUAAUUUUUGAAUUAUCCCCCUUUGUUUAUUUUUACACUUUGAACUUUGUCCGAGACAUAACUCAAUGUAAAAGAGAUAUCAACAUGAAACUUUGUAGGUAGAUAGAUAUCGUUGAGUAAGUUUGCAGUGCACAAGAACUGUAACACUGUCUUGCCUACUUUUGGAGUUAUUGCCCUUUGAUCAUUUUGACACUUUGAACUUUGUCCGGGACAUUACUCUAAGCAGUGCUUAAGAAUUAUUACUCUGCCUUGCCUUAUUUUGAAGUAAUUGCCCUUUGUUUAUUUUUACUUUUUGACUUUUGUACGAGACAUAACUUUAAAACUAUUAGAGAUAUCAACAUGAAACUUUGUAGGUAGCUAGAUAUAAUUGGAUAGAACUGCAAUGCUUAAAGAACCUAAAGAAAGCCUGGUCUAAUUUUGGAGUUUAUACCCUAAUUUCAUUUUUACACUUUGAAUUUUACCUUGGACAUAACUCUGAUAUCAUCAGGCAACUUUAUAGAUGGAUAGAUCUAAUUGAAUAGAAGUGCAGUGCAAAAAAAAACAUAACUCAGCUUUGCCUAAUUUUGGGGUUUUUGCCCUUUGUUCAUUUUUUUUAUACUUUCCAGUGUCCAGAACCUUCUCGGGGAGCAUCACCCGGUUCAACCGGUUCUUGUUAAUGUUGGUUCUGAUCUUAGCUGUGUAUAACAUAGUAUAUGGAAACCGCAACCAAAAUAAUAAAAGGUGUGGCUGGUUUUGCACAAAUUUUGAUUCAUCUGUCAGUCAUAAUUUAUUUCUUGACAGCUACAUUUCUUUUUCUGAAAUUUCUUAUAUAAGUGUAGUAUAAUGAAAAUCAUUUAUACUUCAAACGAAAAGGUAUAUUAUUAAAGGAAAAUUAUGUUGUAGUAGCUUUCUGAGGGUAUGCAUUUUUCUACUUGCAAUGUUGGAAAAUUGUUAUCUAGCUCGCCCUUUAGUCUCGCAAGAUAUCAAUUUCCCACCGCUGCUCAUAGCAAAAUAAAAAGCCUCAGAGAGCUACUACAACAUAAUAUUCUGUAUAUAUAUUUUUUUAUAAUUAACAAGUUUGGGCUAUCCUUGAACUUUUUUUUUAUUUAAUCAAGUUUGAUUUUUUUUAAAUAUAUUUAUAUGAAUGGAUGCAGCUUUGAAAUAGAUUUUACUUAUGUAUAUUUGGCAGCAAUUUCACAUGUAGCUCUUCGAAAAAAAAUCACUUGAGCAAAAAAAAUUUUAUAGGCAUAAAGUGAUACCCGUUCUGUCAUCAUCAGUUUUUGGUUUUUAGCUCACCUGAGCUUGCUCAGGGUGAGCUUUAAGGAUCGGUGAAUGUCCGUCGUCCGUCCACAAUUGCUUGUGAACACUCUAGCGGUCGCAUUUUUGCCUCAAUCAUCAUCAAACUUGGUCAGGAUGCUUAUCUAGUUGAAAGCAUGGAUGAGUUCGAACAUGAGUCAUCUCGGAUGAAAGGCUAGGUCACAAGAGGUAAAAAAAGAAAAACCUUGUGAACACCGUAGAGGUCACAUUUUUGACCCAAUCAUCAUUAAACUUGGUCAGGAUGUUUGCCUAGGUGAUAGCUCGGAUGAGUUCGAACAUGGGUCAUCUCUGAUGAAAAAGUAGGUCACAGGAGCUAUAAAUAGAAACACCUUGUGAACACUCUAGUGGUCACAUUUUUAAACCAAUCAUCAUCAAACUUGGUCAGAAUGCUUGUCUAGUUAAUUGCUUGGAUGAGUUUGAACAUGGGUCAUCUCUGAUGAAAAACUAGGUCACAGGAGCUAAAAAUAGAAAAACCUUGUUAACACUCUAGCCGUCACAUUUUUGCAUCAAUCAUCAUCAAACUUGGUCAGGAUGCUUAUCUAGUUGAUAUCUUGGAUGAGUUUGAACAUGGGUCAUCUCAGAUGAAAAUGUAGGUCACCGGAGCUAAAAAUAGAAAAACAUUGUUAACAAUCUAGCGGUCACAUUUUUGCAUCAAUCAUCAUCAAACUUGGUCAAGAUGCUUGUCUAUGUGAUAGCUCGGAUGAGUACAAACAUGGGUCAUCUCGGAUGAAAAAGUAGGUCACCGGAGCUAAAAAAAGAAAAACCUUGUUAACACUCUAGCAGUCACCUUUUUGCAUCAGUCAUCAUCAAACUUUUGUCAAGAUGUUUGUCUAGUUGAUAGCUCGGAUGAGUUUGAACAUGGAUCAUCUUGGAUGAAAAAGUAGGUCACCUGGGGUAGAAAUAGAAAAACCUUGUUAACACUCUUGUGGUCACAUUUUUGCAUCAAUCAUCAUCAAACUUGAUUAAGAUGCUUGUCUAGGUGAUAGCUCAGAUGAGUUCGGAAAUGGGUCAUCUCGGAUGAAAAACUAGGUCACAGGAGCUAAAAAUAAAAAAACCUUGUCUACACUCUAGUGGUCACAAUUUUGACUCAAUUGUUAGCAAACUUGGUCAGGAAACUUGCCUAGGUCAUUGCUGGGAAUAAAUCGAACAUGGGACAUCUCGGAUGAAAAACUAGGUCACAGGAGAUAAAAAUAGAAAAAUCUUGUUAACACUCUAGUGGCUACUGUUGUGAUCCAAAUAUUCUGUUAAUUGGUCUAAAAGUUUUUUUUGAUGAUUUCUAAGUCAAGAUCCAACAUGGGUCAUCUUGGAUGAAAAACUAGGUCACACCGCCCAAAUAUGGAAAAGCCUUGUUAACAUUCUACUGGUUACAUUUUCGACUCAAUUAUCAUCAAACUUGGUCAGGAUGCUUGUCUAGGUAAUUGCUUGGAUGAGUUCGAAAUCGCAUGUGAAACUAGGUCACCGGAGCUAAAAAUAGAAAAAUCUUGUUAACACUCUUGUUGCUAUUGUUUUGAUCCAAGUAUCCUGGAAAUUGGUCUGACAGUUUGUUUUGAUGAUUUCUAGGUCAAGUUUGAAUAUGUGUCACCUGAGUAAAAAACAAGGUCGCACUGCUCAAAUAUGGAUAAUCCUUGUUAACACUGUAGUGGUCACAUUUUUGACUCACCUGUCGUGAGACUUGGUCAGAAUGUUUGUCUAGGUAAUUGUUUGGAUGAGUUUGAUAAGUCAGGUGAGCGAUCUAGGGCUAUCAUGGCCCUCUUGUUUUGUAUGGUUUUAUUUAAGAAAUAUUUUGUUCCAGUUAUUUACAGAUGUUUGUAUGAUUAUUGGAUUAAAGUUAAAGUACA